ensembl:snRNA U6 U6 spliceosomal RNA
GUGUUUGCUUUAGCAGCACAUAUACUUAAAAUUGGAACAAUACAGACAGGAUUAGCAUGGCCCUUGUGCAAACAUCACAAGCAGAUUUAUAAAGCGUUCCAUAAUGGU